UGGGUUGGAGUAUUUUUUACUCUAUAAUCACUUUUACUCUAUUUUAGAGAAAAAAAAUGGAGUAGGGAUGGAGAUGCUCUAAAACCGGAGAGUUUUAGACCGAAAUUACGAUUCUCCUUCUUAGUCCAAACAAGUUUCGAUAAAAUAAAACAUGUGACGAGUACCACGUGUCUAGAAACACAUACCAAGUGUCGCCGCAUUUAAAAAUCUGCAUCGAUUAAACUACGGUCAAUUUAUUUCUUUCUUGGUGUUUUCUUUUUUGUCAUCCUCUUAAAAAAUUUUUUUUUUGCAUUAUAUUUAAAACUUGGAAACUAAAAUACAUUCAGAUCCCGAAGGAUGACACUGAAUUUUAAUGGAAUCGGCUAUUCCAAGUACAACGCACCGGGAUCCCCAAAUGGGAUCUCUAACCAUGUGGUGUCCAAUAAUUAGCCACUUUUUAGUGUGAAGACUAUCCAUAAUAUAUCUUUCCUAUAAGAAGCCAAAUUAAGGUGACGCAAGCUUCACACAAUUUUUUUUUUUUUUUUUUUUUUUUUUAAGCUUCACACAAUUGUUUGUUCUUUGAAUCGUUGUAGCGAAGGAGACAAGACAAUGUAAGAAGUUUACAUAUAGUCCUUGUUCUUUAACCAUUUUUUCUUCUUCCUUAUUAUUUUACGUCGCUUUGAUGAGUUUGCUAUGGAGAACCUAUAGCAACACAUAUGUAGUCCAAAAAAAGAAAAACUAGCAACAUAUGGAGCUAACUAACAAUUAUUAAUUUUCUUUUUGAUCAAACCAAACUUGCAUUAAUCUUAAAUAUGUUUACACUCCAACAAAAACUAACAGUUAUUGAUAAAAACGACUAUUAUGUCAUGUAUUCAAAAGAUCGAGUUUAUUUUGAGUGUUUUAC
rnacentral:lncRNA from 1 species